rnacentral:lncRNA from 1 species
AAAAAGAUUACCACGUCCACCACCUGAAAGGUUCUUGGAGGGAGAAACAGUGAAGACAAAACCAUGCCCACCAGACCCACCAACAUAGCUGGGGACAAUGGCAAAGAUGAAGGUUGUGGCAAAGGAGGAAGCUGUGGUGGGGUGUUGGGAAUCAUGGCUGUUCUUGUUGAGAAAGUGAAAUGGGGUGUUGUAGAAGGCAUGGCCAGUGAGGUUGGGUGAUGAGUUUGUAAGCCUGAGAGCCCCAUUUGGCGUGGUGAGGGAAGCCCCACCAAGGCUUAAGUUGGAUGCAGAAGCUUUGAAGCCAUUGAAGAUGAAGCCAUAAUCAGACUGAGAGUAAGCUUGAUUAAGGAGGAGCAGAGAGAAGAGGGGAAAGAGGAGAGUUUUUGCCAUUUUAGAUGGGUUUUUCUCAAGGUAGAACUGUAGAAGAUAGAUUUGUAGGCAAAUGUGAGAGGCAUACACGUCGUCUUCAGUUUCCUGUGGAGUUGUGGACAAAUGUCCAUCUCUUCGUACCAUUUUCAAAUCAAUAGACCCAGUGUAAUUUAAUUUGCUUAGGUUGCUAGGGUUAAAGUGGCCAAUUUGUAAGGAAAAGCAAAAUUUCUAGAAGAAAAAAGAUGUUCUUUGAUUGAAAGUUUUCAAAUAACAGGCAUUUGUGUUGAUGGUGUGACAUUAGCCUCCAAGAAUUUGUGCAGAGAUGAUGAUCUGGAUGCAGAAUAUUUUUGUGCAAGAGAAAAGAUUUAUUUCGUGUUUGUUUGAAGCCAUGGAUACAGAAUUAGAUUUUAGAACCCGUCUAAUCAUAAUUUUGAAAAUAGUUUUUAAAAAUAAAAUUUUAAGAUUAAUUCAUAAAAAUAAUUGUGUGGACCUCGUAUUUCUGUUCAUGCGCUUCCACUCGAUGACGAACUCGUUUUUUAUUUGAAAAAUGAUUUAUUUUUUAGAAAAUAACUUGGAGUCGUCACUUAUUUUUGUUUUAUUUUUAAAGGGGAAACAAAAUAAGAAAGAAAACCCUAAGUGUGACCUUAUUUUGGAAAAGGUGAUCUGUGAAAAACUAAAUAUGGACUCGAAGGUCAGGUUACUUAUUGGGAAGGUACGGUAAAGGCCGUAACACCCCUCUAAGUCCCUAAAAAUAGGUCUCUACUGAUGAAAUGAGACAAGUAUGACAAUUGAUUGAUCAAAUAUGGAUACCGAAUGAAUAUCAAUCAAAACAAAAUAAUCGAAUGAACAAGAGAAACAAAGAGUGUACCUAAUUGAUGAGCGGAUUUGCUUCAUGAAAAUAAAGAUUAGUAAACAAACAUAGAAUAAUCACAUGUGUGUCAUAGAGUGGAAUAAGUCAAUCAUGUAUAGCAAUCAAUGAGAUAAUCACAUAUGUUGGGUCCCUAUUAAGACCCACUUUAUUUUUGCAUGAAUUAAUUCUGUAAAUUCCAUACUGGGGCAUAUUUCCUUCUUUUAGCUGUGGAGAGGAUUACUUUCUCACAGGCUUGUUGUCGUUUUCAUUACUCAGUCGAGGGAUAUUUAUUCAUAUCGUUGGCCACAGUUUCGAUGAUUUUUGACGAGAUAAGCCACUAGAGGAGCACAACUUUCGGGUUUUAACUGUCCCACCAUUCAUGAUUCUUUAGUAGAUUGUUGUGUUGAGAUGGUGGUAGUUACCCUAACAGCUUAUCCUCUUGUGACUCCCCAGUGGAUCAUUCCUUUGAGACGACGAUGGAUUCUUCCGGCAUAACAUGUUGAGUUAGAGGCGUCCGACUUAUUGUGACACAUCAUCAAGUCUCGUGAUUCAGUCAGAUUGGCUGUGAAGCCAUAUUAACAGUCGAUUUGACCGUUCCAACUCGUCAGCGGAGCAUCUUUUGAGACUCAUGAAGUAUGUUUUAGACCUUUCCUGUGGAUUGAGAGUUGUAGCGGCACGCUACACUGGGGCAUAUUUUCUCCUCAUUAUCUCCUCACAUUUUCAGUUUGGGCGUUCAGAGCCACAAUCUCUUCUCAGUUUCGGCGUUCAGAGUCAUCAUAUCUUCUCAGUUUUGGUGUUCAAAGCCAUCAUAUAUUCUUAGUUUCGGCGUUCAAAGUCACCAUCUCUUCUCAGUUUUGACGUUUAAAGCCACCAUCUUCUCAGUUUGGGCCUUCAGAACCACCAUAUCUUCUCAUUUUUGGCGUUUAGAGCCAUCAUCUCUUCUAAGUUUCGGUGUUCAGAGCUACCAUCUCUUCUUAGUUUUGGCGUUCAGAGCCACAAUAUUCUUAGUUUGGGCAUUCAGGGCCACCAUCUUUUCUCAGUUUGGGCGUUCAAAGUCACCAUCUGCAUUAUUUGGCAUUCAGAGCCACCAUCUCCUCUCAGUCUGGCAUUUAGAGUCAUCAUCUUAUCAUGAUCGAGCAUUCGCUGCCACUUUUUUGGCGUUCAAAGCUACAUUCAUGACGUUCAGGGUCAUUGUUCACAGUUUGGCGUUCAGAGCCUUUAUCUUCUUCAAUUUGUUGUUCAAAGUCGCAUAUCAACCUGGCAUUCAAAGCCGCCAUUUUCCUUUAGUUCGGCGUUCGGAGCCACGUUCCUAACAUUUAGAGUUGUCUUUCUCUGUUAGUUAGGUGUUCGGAGCCACGUUGCUAGCAUUUAGGAUUGUCAUUUUCUUUUAGUUUAGUAUUCAAAGUCAUUCUUACCAUUCAGGGCCACUUUCAUCAAUUUUAGGCGUUCAGAGCCAUGUCUUCAAUUUGGCAUUUAGAACCACCAUCUUCUUCAGUUUGACAUUCAGAGUUGUGUCUUCAUUUUGACAUUCAAGGCCAUUGUCUAGCUUGGCAUUCGGUGCCACCAUCUCCUUUUAGUUUUGGUGUUCAGAAUCGUUUUUUCCCAGCUUUGUCAUCCAUAGUCAUGGCUCCUGGCAUUCAUAUUCAUUGGCAUUGCACAUCUUGCCUUCACGAUUUUUACGUUCAUCCUCAUUUUCCUCACCUCGUUACCUUGUGCUUAUCGCUUGUUCAUCACGUUCUUCUAGACUUCCCAUUCCCUUGCACAUGACAUAGUUCAUUGAGUUCAUGGCACAUAUUUUGAUCAUGUUAUUGGGGCACCCUACACUUAGCAUCCUCAUGUAGUUCACAUAGGGCAAUCCCCUUUGGACGCAUUCUUUCCUGUACUCGAAGGUGGUUCAACUGCUACUCAACUUUGACAUCGAUCUUCGAGUCACUUUUGGAGACAUCUUAGAGUGUCUGGGUCCAUAACACAACUUUAGAUGCAUUCUAAGAGCUACCAUUUUUUUAGGAUUUUAGAGCCCCUUUUGUUCUUUGUCAGUUUGAACAAGUUUGUGUUCUACUUGUGUACCUUUGGGGGUCUUUCUUUUUCUUUGGUAGAGUUCACUCUAUUCUACUCACUAUUCACACUUUCUUUUCACUCUAGUAUUCAUAUUCUUUGCACUCGUGAACUCUACCGAAGAUGGGUAUAUUUGUAGACCUUUGUAGGACCGUGGGUUUUUUUUCUCAAACCCGGGAAGAGCUGGCAACUUGUUUUUGGAGUGGGGGCCAAUUUCCGAAGGAGUCAAGCUACAUGGACGUGUGGCUAAGGGACAUUACCACCUUGUUAGGUGGUGGUUGAGGAUGGUCAUAUUUGCUAAACCAGGAGCAAGUGAAGACAUAGGGGAGGAAGAAAAACAGAGGAAAUAGGAAAAAAAAAACAGAGCAAGCUUUUUGGUGGUGGGAAAUAUAUAGAAAAAAAAAACGGAACUGAGGAAAGGGUGGUGAGUCUGCGGAUAUCCCAAGAGAGAGCAAAAGCAGAGGACUUUGAGGUACGUUGGUUGUGAUUUCCUUGCUCAUUUUUGCUAGAGAGGAGCUCUACCAGGUGCGAGCAUUGUGGAUCUUUAUUGUUCAUCUUUCUGAUUACAUUGUUCUUCAUGCAUUUUUCUUGUUAUUUUUUUUAGCUUUCAUUUGCUACUUGGAUGUGACUACUCUGCUAUUCUCUCAUUUUCUUUGAUUUCGUUUGGGGCUACCAUGCGCAUGGGUUCAUCCAAAUCAUGUCAAUGUUCUCUGUUUAUCCCAUGUUCAUGGCCCAUGAAUUCACAUAUAAAAUAAGGCUCCAUAGGUUUUUUUUUUUUUUUUUUUUCUUUCUCUGUUUCUUCCUUGGGGACAUGAGAAACUUCUUCUCCUUCUUUUUGUGGGACUGGUCUCGGCUCGGAGGGAUGUGGGGAGGUUUUAAGAGAGAGGGAGUUGUAGGAAGAGCUAGUCACAAGCUUGAGAGAGAAGAUGAGCAUGAGAGCAGAUCUGGAACUAAUAACAUGGACGGUGCUUCUGGGGAUGAUCAGGAUGCUAUCAACAACCCACCAAGGAAGAAGAGAUACCACCGACACACUCCUCGGCAAAUCCAAGAACUUGAAGCCCUAUUCAAGGAGUGUCUUCAUCCUGAUGAAAAGCAAAUGUUGGAACUCAACAAAAGGCUUUGCUUGGAGACUAGGCAAGUGAAAUUCUAGUUCCAAAAUCAUCGUACCCAGAUGAAGACCCGAUUAGAACGACAUGAGAACUCAAUUCUUAAGCAAGAAAAAUGAUAAACUUUAGGCUAAAAACAUGUCAAUAAAGGAUGCUAUGAGGAACCCAAUUUGCACCAACUGUGGUGGUCCGGUAAUUAUUGGUGACAUUUCUGUAAAGGAGGCAGAAUCUUUUUCUAGAUGUCAAAAGCUUCACAUACCUUUGAAUAAUAACCUUUGCCGUAAUGAAAUUGGUCAGUCCGAGAAUAUUCGAAUCCAAACCCGGUAUCAACAGGGUUGAAACUUUCUUAUGAGGAAGAUGAGCACAACUCUUCUAUUACUUUCGCAUGUGAUAUCAUGACCGCCGCACUCCCUGUUAUUUCAUCUCUUGGUGAUAAUCUGAAGCUUGAGGUAGAAAAGGUUGAAAAAAGAGAAGAGGCGGUUCUUUGCAUUGUCACUAGGGUCGUUUUUUUCACUACUCAAACAUCUUCCCAUUCUUUCUCAUCAUAUGCACCCAUCAUACCUAUUUUUUCUCACAUUUUCCUCCACUCAAACAUCUUCAUAUUCUCUCUCAUACAUAUAUAGCCAUCAUACCUAUUUAUCUCACAUUUUUCCUCCACUCAAACAUCUUCUCAUUCUGUCUCAUACGUAUGCACUCACCAAACCCAUUCUUUAUUUAUUUUUUCUUUCUCUCACUAUUUCCUCCACUUAAAUAUCUUCCAACUCUCUUUCAUACCCGUGCAACUUGCAUUUCCAUUUUAUUUCUUCAUAUUUUAACAUCAAAGUUUAAUGUUCCAAAAUUUCAAUUUUUAAAUUUAAUUUUCAAAACUCUAAUUCUCAAUUAAUUUCCAAAAUUUCAAUUCUUAAAUUUAAUUUUUAAAACUCCAAUUUUCAAUUAAUUUCCAAAAUUCCAAUUCUUAAAUUUAAUUUCCAAAAUUCCAUUCCCUAAAUUUAAUUUCCAAAAUUCCAUUCCCUAAAUUUAAUUUCCAAAAUUCCAAUUCUCAAAUAAUUUCCAAAAUUCCAAUUUCUUUCAAACUUAAUUUCCAAGAUUCCAAUUCUUAAAUUUAAUUUCCAAAAUUCCAUUUCUUAAAUUUAAUUUUCAAAACUCCAAUUCUCACAAAAUUCCAAUUUCUUUCAAAUUUAAUUUCAAAAAUUCUAAUCCUUAAAUUUAAUUUUCAAAACUCCAAUUUUCAAAUAUUUUUUUUUAAGAUUUCAAUUUUUAAAUAAUUUUCAAAAUUCCAAUUUUCUUCAAAUAAUUUUAAAUCCACUCCAGUUUUCUAAUAAUUUUAAGUCCUCAACUUUUGUCCUUCAUUAGGGUUUUAGGUCACCAAAAAUCCGGAUUUUGAUAAACUUGCUACUUUUCCUUAUGGGUAAGCACUUCCACAAAUUUCCUUUGAUUUUAAAAUAAUUUUUCUUUUUUUUCGAUUUUUAAAUAAAAAUGAAUAUGAUUCUCAUAUCUCUAGAAAUAAUGGAAUUUAUGAGAUUAAUUCACGCAAAAUCAAUCGGGCUUUGGUGGGGGCCCAACAUCCAUAACAUUUCUUCAAAAAUAAUUCAAGUGAAUCGCAUGAUUGAUAUAAUUUGAUUUUGAUUGGUUUUGUGUGAAAUAUUUUACAUUUAUCAUUGUGCACUAACUCUGUUUCAUGAUAGCGCUUUAUUAUUUGUUGCUAAAGUACGCUCCUAUUCCUACUUCAUUUAUUUAUUCGUUCUCAUGCUCAAUUUGUUUUAUUAUUUGAUCAUUUCAUUGGUAUCUAUUGAUCUCCUUAUUAAUUGUCACACUUGUUUCACCUUAUUUAGUAGAGACCUUAUUAUAAGGCUUAGAAGGGUGCUACGGCUCACCACUGUACCUUCCCAAUAGGUAACCUGACCCUCGAACCCAAACUCGGUUUUCCACAAACUUAUUUUUUCUUCAGGAGUGACACUUAGUGUUUUUCUUUCUUAUUUUGUUUUUUCCUUAAAAAAUAUUAAAAUAAGUGGCGACUCCAAGUCUUUUUCUAAAAAUCAAAUUUUCAUAAAUAAAUUAAAAAAAAAAGAGUUUCGCCAUUGAAUGAGAAAGCAUCGAGCAAAAUACAUGGUCUACGCAAUGUUUUUAGUAUUUUUGUUAUUUAAUUUUUCAUAUUAUAAAUUCUUCUUUUCUUUUAUUAGUCUUUUUUUUUUCUUUUAUUGAAUGAUACCAACAUUACCAUUUUUAAAAUAUGAAAAUUUAUUUAUAAUUAUUAUAAUACUCAAACUUUUUAUUCCCUUCACACCAAAUUUUUUGGCUCCACCGCUACUUUCAAUAUAUCAUAUGCUGAAAAAUGUAGGCUAUGUUUGAAAAUUGUUCUCGACAAUACUUUUUUAUUUAUAUAUAUAUAAAUUGUUUCCAAAAUAUAUUUUUGAGAAAAAUGGAAAUUAUAUUUGCAUCCACCAAAUUGAUUUUUGCAUCCAUUCUAUUUACACAUCCACUUAAAAAUAAUAAUUUUAUUAAUACAUCAACUAACAAUUUUAAACAUUUUUCAAUCCAUCAUUUAAAAAAAAAAAAAAAACAAAUUGCUUUAAGCAUAUACAAAAAAAUAGGCUUACAAAUUCCUUCAUACGCCCAUGCAAAAAAAAGUGUAGGUACAUAACUAAAUCAUCUCAAAAAACAAUUUUAUGGUAACACUAUUAAAGUAAGUGAUGAACCAAUUGUAAGGCUUAGAUAUUGAUAUUGUUGUUAACAAUAUUGACACAAUUAUGUUUAUGUCUAGGAUGUAAUGGAAUUGGUCGUUUGCAUGUUUUUCUAUUAUGUCUAUAAUCAUUACAUCUACCACAACAUCAUGUGCACUUAAUAACCUUUUUGCCUGAUCAAAUUCUUUCAUUUUUUGGUCUUCCUACUAGUUGUUGACUUUUAGGUGGUAAUACAACUCUACAACAAAUGUAUUUAGGAAUUACCCAAUCUUUUUUAUUUCUAGUAGAAUAUAUAGAUUUUGAAUAUGAAGAUAUAAGUGAGUUCUUCAUAUAGUAUUGAGAGCACAUAAUAUAUAACGACAUGUUUCCAUAUCUACAUGCAUCGAUCGCAUGUGUACAUGAAAUAUGGUCAAGAUCAAACAUCCUACAUGUGCAUGAACAUGCUUGCAAAUUAACUUAAUCACUUAUCCCAACAUAUUUGACAUUAAACUCCCAAAAAUUAAUAGACUCAACCUCAUAACUUGAUAAUUUAUUAAACCUUAAGCACAACUUCAAGUUAACCCAUGUGAUAAGUUCAAUUUUCAUUGACAAUGCUUGUUGUUGGCGAUUUGAAAACCAUCUCUAAAGUAAGUUUCUCAACUCUUCAACCAUUCUCAUAAUCGAAAGAUCUCUUGCAUCUUUUAAUACAACAUUCAUGCACUCAAUAAUCCUGUAAUCAUGAUAUUAUAUUUUUUUUCAUUAUUAUGUGACCGAGUUUAUUGCUUAAUUCCUAUAUCCACUAAAUAAACAGAUGCUCUAAUUUUCCAUACAUGUGAUUUAUUACUUACUAUUAUUUGACUUUGUCAUAUGGAUAAAACUUUUAACUUCUUUUAAAUUAAAAUUUUCACUUUUUCACAUUUUAAAACUUUUUUUUUUCAUAACUAAUGUUGAAGCUUUUUUUACCAACAAUGGUGAAGUAAGGUUUUAAAUUUAUAGGAAACAAAAAGAAAUAAAAUGAUAAUAUAUAUAAAAAAAAAUGUUGGUUGCUUACAAGACUAAGAAUAAAGAGUAGAUGAAACAAUAGUGAGAAUUUAGGUUUUUUCUUUGUCGGGAAACAAAAAAGGAGCAAAUAGAUGAUCAAAUAAAAAAAUAAAAAGCUAAUAUAUUGUAAAAUAGAGGGAAGAGAAAAUCAUCUUAGAGGAAAAAAAAAAAAAAGAGGAGGGGGGGGGGGGUGGUAUUUAUACUUUUUGAGAGAUAAAUUAUUCUUAUAAAUAUGAGAGUUAUUUUAAUCCCUUUUAACCAAAUAACCUAAAUUUUAAACCGUUAAAAAAAGUAUUGAGAAGUUGUCUUGAAGGCUUAAGGCUGUGUCAAAAAUGGUCAAUGGGCUUCUACCUCCUACUUUUCCAUCUUAGAAAAGCCUAGGAUUCCAUUCUCAUAGAGAACCUUAUCUAUGAAUUAGGUAAAAAGGAAUGCCUUUGCCCUCUUAACCAUUAUUAAAGCUAGCGAAGCAUAAGAAGAGUCCACGUCUUUCCCCCACAAGAAAGCUAAAAGUUAGCUCAAAAGCCUCAUAAGUCUCCUAGGAGAACUUUUGUUUGGCAGCAUUUUUAAAAGUAGGUUUUUUCAGCUUAUUAUCAAUGAAUUGAGGCUUAAUGCAACACUUUUCAGAGUAAUUUUUUUUUUUCAAUUGAUUCUCAUAACACUUAACAAAAAAAAGCCUAAAAACAUAUCAUAUUUGUUCUUAAAAAAGAACCAUUUUUCAAAAAAUUAUUGUUGGUAAAAAGUUUGUCAAACACGUUUUUUAAAAUUGGAGUUAGGUUUUCUAUUUUGACAAAAAAUUGUUUUUAAGAAUGGCUUCCAACCACUAAUUUAAUUUAAAAACUUUAAUUGUUGAAUGAUGUACCAACUACAUAUAUUAAGUUGAUUUUUGCUAAAACCCUAACGCUCAGGCAAUCACCAUUUUCUGAACUAAUUUAAUCUAAAAGCUUAAAUUGUUAUAUAAUAAGCCAUAUGUAUCAAGCCUACCCAUGCUAAAAGCCCUAACAACAUCAAACUCAAAACUUGAUGCCAGAGGUCUUCAUACUUCAACAACUUCAGCCUCAUUACUCAACAUACAGGCCACCAUCCUCACAAAGAAAAUGAAACUAAGCAGAACAACAAGCAUAUACAAUUAAUCUACCGCCCAGAUGCUAAGGAUCCAACAGACAUCACUCCAUAGGAUGAUGGGUGUGAGUCAGCUUUGGAGUCCAAUGAGCCCACAAAGAAACCUAAACUUGAAGCAUCAACCUCGGGGAGUGGGUCAAAGCCACUGAGAUAUCUUGUAACCUGCUGCAUAUUGGGCCUAGCCUGUGGCUCUGGGUAAGAGCAGAGGAGGCCAACCUUCAAAACCAAUUCAAUCUCCUUCUUCACAUAUGAAUUGCCAAGCUUUGGAUCUGCAGCUUCAAGUAUAUGACCCCUCUGAUGACACUGUGCCACCCAAUCUUGUAGAAUCAUUUGUUUCCCGGACGAGGCAUUGGGGUCUAGAGGCCUCCUCCCACAUGCCACUUCUAGUAGUACUGCCCCAAAGGCGAAUACAUCGGAGCUUGCGGUGGCCUUUCCAGUGAGGGAGAGCUCCGGUGCUAUGUACCCCACUGUGCCCACCACAUGGGUGGUGCUAGGGUUCUUCCCAUGCUCAUAUAGUUUGGCCAGGCCGAAGUCUCCUAGCCGGGAAUUCAUAUUUGAGUCAAGCAGGACAUUGUUGGCCUUCACAUCCCUAUGGACAACUACCUGUUCCCAUUCUUCAUGUAAAUAUAGGAGGCCUGCAGCAAUCUCCUUGAGGAUCCUGAACCUCUGUCCCCAAUCAAGGUUCUUGUCUUCUUGAAACAGGAAGGUGUCCAGGCUGCCAUUGGACAUAUAAUCAUAAACAAGAAGGAGAUCGCCUUUUCGCUUACACCAACCUUGGAGAUGAACCAAGUGCCUGUGCCUCAGCUUUCCUAGGCUUGCAAUCUCUGCAAUAAACUCCUUCACUCCCUGCUUGGAAUUGUGGGAAAUUCUCUUUACAGCAACUUCUUCUCUAGUCUUUGGCAGCACCCCCUUGUAGACGGAACCGAACACGCCUUUGCCGAGAAUCUGGCUCUCCUUGAAGCCCUUUGUGGCAAUAUAAAGGUCUUUGUAUCUAAACCUAUGGGGGAAGUCCAAUUCCCAAUCUUCCAGGACCUCAGCUAGCCUUGCCCUUCUUAGCAUAUACACAGAAAUAGUGAUUCCACACAGAAGUAACGCAAGGGUCACCAUUGUUGACGCUGCUCCAAUCUCAAUCCCUCUUCUCCUCCCAAGGCCUGGAGAUGGGGUUCCAUUUCUUGGGGGAGAAGGGAUUUUAGAGAGAUCAAGAGGGUCUUCUUCUGUACGACCCAUCUUCAAACUCCACCCCAGAAUGUAAUGAGAGUUAGGAUGCUUCCCAGUGGCAGCUGAGAAGCCAACAUACAUGGACUCUUUAAAGAUAGGGGAUAAGUCCAUGGCUAGGGACAAGAGGGGUUUGCUUGGUUUAGGAAGAGAAGCAGGGGAAAUGGUGACAUUGACGAUUUUUUGAGCUCCAUCAUACUCAAUCCAAGCUUGGAUUGGAUUCCCACUCUCCAAAACCACUUCAUGAGAGGAUUUGGAGGAGUUAUCAUAGUAUGAAGCUGACUUAGAAGCAUUAGACCUAACAGUAUUGAUGUCUAUACCAACAUGGUUAUCAUCGAUAUCUCCAUACAUAACCAGGGAUUGAACUGUAUCAAACUCAACAGCAAACAAAUGGUUGGAGAAGUUCCCCAUGGUGGCCUCAUUAAAAAGACCAAAAAGAUUACCACGUCCACCGUCUGAAAGGUUCUUGGAGGGAGAAACGGUGAAGACAAAACCAUGCCCACCAGACCCACCAACAUAGCUGGGGACAAUGGCAAAGAUGAAGGUUGUGGCAAAGGAGGAAGCUGUGGUGGGGUGUUGGGAAUCAUGGCUGUUCUUGUUGAGAAAGUGAAAUGGGGUGUUGUAGAAGGCAUGGCCAGUGAGGUUGGGUGAUGAGUUUGUAAGCCUGAGAGCCCCAUUUGGCGUGGUGAGGGAUGCCCCACCAAGGCUUAAGUUGGAUGCAGAAGCUUUGAAGCCAUUGAAGAUGAAGCCAUAAUCAGACUGAGAGUAAGCUUGAUUAAGGAGGAGCAGAGAGAAGAGGGGAAAGAGGAGAGGUUUUGCCAUUUUAGAUGGUUUUUCUCAAGGGUAGAAGACAGAUUUGUAGGCAAAUGUGAGAGGCAUACACGUCGUCUUCAGUUUCCUGUAGAGUUGUGGACAAAUGUCCAUCUCUUCGUACCAUUUUUAAAUCAAUAGACCCACUUUAAUUUAAUUUGCUUAGGUUGCUAGGGUUAAAGUGGCCAAUUUGUAAGGAAAAGCAAAAUUUCUAGAAGAAAAAAGAUGUUCUUUGAUUCAAAAUUUUCAAAUAACAUGCAUUUGUGUUGAUGGUGUGAAAUUAGCCUCUGAGAAUUUGUGCAGAGAUGAUGAUAUGCAUGCAGAAUAUUUUUGUGCAAGAGAAAAGAUUUAUUUCAUGUUUGUUUGAAGAAGGGGCUACAGAUUCAGAUUUUAGAACCUGUCUAAUCAUAAUUUUGAAAAUAGAUUUUAAAAAUAAAAUUUUAAAAUUAAUUUAUAAAAAUAGUUGUUAAUCAUUUUAAAAAAUAAGAGUGUUUGAUAUUAUGAUUUAAAUACAAUUUUUUGUUUAACAAAAAUCUAUUUUUAAAUAUUUGACCGUUAUUUUCUGAAAACAAUUUUUAAAAGUAAAAUAAAAUAAAGAAUAAUUUUUAGAUAACAAAAUAGUUGAUCAUGUCUUUUUAAAAACAAAAAAAAAAAAAAAUGGGCAUGUUUCAUCAUAUUUUUUUAAACUUGAUUUUAAAAACUAUUUUUAAUUCAAAUAAUUUUCUUU